UUAAAACGAAGCAAAUUUGUGCCCACAUUGACAAACUGGACAGUAUUCUGGCGCAAUACCAACUCAAUUCCGUGGAAGUUGCCUUGAUCGAAAAAAAUAAAGAUUCGAUCAAUAAUUUUAUAAAUGGGCUGGUAGGUGGAGAGAACUUGGCCGAUGAUCCAACAGUUUACGGAGAACUGAACGACGUCGGUCUUCCACUCCUUUGCCAGAAAAUGCCCCAAAAUCAAUUUUCAGGGGAUGGAGUUAAAAUUAUAAGACGCCGUUCGCCAGAGUAGAUAUGUUAAUAUAUUUCAGACCAACUACCCCGUCGCCCACCACAGUAGGAGCCCAUUCGUUCACACCCGCGUCUAGUACUGGAGUGCUACAAGAAGUAUUCCGUGUUUACAGUGUUCAGGAAACCAGCAAAUUUGAAGUGCCUUUUGGAAAGAAGUUUUAUCCACGUGUCGAGUCAGAAGGGGAUGGUUAUUAACUGACAAUUAUUUUAGUUGAGUUUCAAGAAGUUCCUCCAGAAUCUGAAGUUCCAAAGGACGUCUACGAAUCAAUGACAAAGGAUGAAAAAAGACGUGUUAAUGCACUAAUCAAGUCUAAUUACGAUCAGACAUUAUAUUAUGUAAACGAAAA